UUCGAUUAUAUCAGUUCCAACACACAUUUCUUUCUUACUAAAGCUAAGGUCCAUCAGAACCAAACCAUCAUGCAAUUUACUAUUGUCUUCAGUCUUGCACUUCUGUGCUUUGCAUCAAUAGUUAGUGCUCAAUCACAAGACAGUUCAGCAGAGCGUGAAGACUUGGAUCAGUAUGAAGUCGGAUACAACGGGCUCAACCUGGUGAAGGUGGGUCUCCCUCAACUGCGUAAUCGCUGCAAAACCAUGGGCAAUUGUGUUCAUGAUAGGCUGUGUGAUAGCAGUUGCAAGCAGUUUGGGUACAAGGAUGGAGAAUGCAGUGGAAGAUCCUGCAUUUGUUGUGCCUAAUCAUCGAGCUGCUAGAUUCAGUGUUUGUUUGAGAGAGUGUUGAUAAUUAUCAAACAACAAGAGUAUAUAAAAUAUAUUCAAUAUUAACAUAUUUUAA
rnacentral:lncRNA from 1 species